AGUGAACGCUGGCGGUAGGCCUAACACAUGCAAGUCGAACGGCAGCACAGUAAGAGCUUGCUCUUACGGGUGGCGAGUGGCGGACGGGUGAGGAAUACAUCGGAAUCUACUUUUUCGUGGGGGAUAACGUAGGGAAACUUACGCUAAUACCGCAUACGACCUACGGGUGAAAGCAGGGGAUCUUCGGACCUUGCGCGAUUGAAUGAGCCGAUGUCGGAUUAGCUAGUUGGCGGGGUAAAGGCCCACCAAGGCGACGAUCCGUAGCUGGUCUGAGAGGAUGAUCAGCCACACUGGAACUGAAACACGGACCAGACUCCUAAGGGAGGCAGCAGUGGGGAAUAGUGGACAAUGGGCGCAAGCCUGAUCCAGCCAUACCGCGUGGGUGAAGAAGGCCUUCGGGUUGUAAAGCCCUUUUGUUGGGAAAGAAAAGCAGCAGGUUAAUACCCCGCUGUUCUGACGGUACCCAAAGAAUAAGCACCGGCUAACUUCGUG
rnacentral:rRNA from 1 species